rnacentral:rRNA from 1 species
AAGGGCACCACAAGAGCGCGUGGAGCAUGUGGCUUAAUUUGACUCAACGCGGGAAAUCUUACCGGGUCCGGACACACUGAGGAUUGACAGGUAUUAUAUAGCACGCGCUUGCGCGUCUAUUGUUAAAUAUGCUAGUCCUUUCAUGAUUAUGUGAUAGGUGGUGCAUGGCCGUUCUUAGUUCGUGGAGUGAUCUGUCUGCUUAAUUGCGUUUCAGAUAAGGAUCUAUAUUCUUUACAGAAGUGUUGCGUUGUGCAUUUGACCCCUCGUUCGCGAGUGCGUGUCUUUUCGCGCUCGCACGCUUUUUACAUUAGGUCCUGAAAGUAACGAACGUGACCGCAACCUCUUGUUGCCUCAUCUCCCUACUUUUUAGCGUGCACUUCGGUGUGCGUUAAUAAUUUCAUUGAGGCUUUCCAAAACUAGAGGGACCGCUGUCAACUUCUUAAACCAGAGGAAGGUUGCGGCAAUAACAGGUCUGUGAUGCCCUUAGAUGUUCCGGGCUGCACACGUGCUACAAUGAUUGUUGCAGUGAGCAUCUCAAUUUUUUACCUAACACCGCACACGUGAGUGCAUACUUGUAUGUUACUUUACGCAGCGGUAAAGCCUGCUUCGAGAGCAAGUGGGUAAUCAAUUAGAAGUAACGAUUUCCCAAAUUAGCACACUUAUAUGCGGCGUUUGCGCCCGGGUACCACUUGUUGGUACUUCUGUGCGUGCAGAUGUUUUUUUCCGCAUGUGCAAUUGUCAAUUCAUGGUGGGGACAGACCAUUGUUAAUUGUUGGUCUUGGUCUUAACUAGGAAUGCCUUGUACGGGUCUUUGGUUCAACAAACCACCCGGAAUACGUCCCUGCCCUUUGUACACACCGCCCGUCGCUCUUACCGAUGGACUUCUCUGUGAGUUUGAGGGACUGGAUUUGAUCGCUUCGGCGCAUUAAUAUCUAUGGAAACUUAAACGAACAGUGUGGUCUAAAGGAAAGAGAAGUCGUAACAAGGCAUCGGUAGGUGAACCUGCCGAGGAUCA